rnacentral:rRNA from 1 species
AAUGAACGCUGGCGGCAGGCUUAACACAUGCAAGUCGAGCGGGGGAGGUUGCUUCGGUAACUGACCCAGCGGCGGACGGUGAGUAAUACUUAGGAAUCUGCCUAUUAAUGGGGGACAACAUCUCGAAAGGGAUGCUAAUACCGCAUACGCCCUACGGGGGAAAGCAGGGGAUCACUUGUGACCUUGCGUUAAUAGAUGAGCCUAAGUCGGAUUAGCUAGUUGGUGGGGUGAAGGCCUACCAAGGCGACGAUCUGUAGCGGGUCUGAGAGGAUGGACCGGCACACUGGGACUAGGACGCGGCCCAGAAUCCUACGGGAAGGAGCGGUGGGGAAUAUUGGACAAUGGGGGGAAGCCUGAUCCAGCCAUGCCGCGUGUGUGAAGAAGGCCUUAUGGUUGUAAAGCACUUUAAGCGAGGAGGAGGCUCUUUUGGUUAAUACCCAAGAUGAGUGGACGUUACUCGCAGAAUAAGCACCGGCUAACUCUGUGCCAGCCGCCGCAGUAAAAC